UCCUGCAUCUGAAAGUGAUCGUGGGCUGCCUAUGCCCUGGUCAUUGAUAGUGCAGGGAGAGAAGCUGAAAGGAGUUUUCCAGGUGUCUGAAGCAUCCAGCUGUCCUUUCCAAAUCCUGGGGCUUUCACACA